UCUGUACCCCCACACAUACAAUUAUCUGUAAGGUCCCUCAUCUCUGUACCCCCACACAUACAAUUAUCUGUAAGGUCCCUCAUCUCUGUACCCCACACAUACAAUUAUCUGUAAGGUCCCUCAUCUCUGUACCCCCACACAUACAAUUAUCUGUAAGGUCCCUCAUCUCUGUACCCCACACAUACAAUUAUCUGUAAGGUCCCUCAUCUCUGUACCCCCACACAUACAAUUAUCUGUAAGGUCCCUCAUCUCUGUACCCCCACACAUACAAUUAUCUGUAAGGUCCCUCAUCUCUGUACCCCCACACAUACAAUUAUCUGUAAGGUCCCUCAUCUCUGUACCCCCACACAUACAAUUAUCUGUAAGGUCCCUCAUCUCUGUACCCCACACAUACAAUUAUCUGUAAGGUCCCUCAUCUCUGUACCCCCACACAUACAAUUAUCUGUAAGGUCCCUCAUCUCUGUACCCCCACACAUACAAUUAUCUGUAAGGUCCCUCAUCUCUGUACCCCACACAUACAAUUAUCUGUAAGGUCCCUCAUCUCUGUACCCCCACACAUACAAUUAUCUGUAAGGUCCCUCAUCUCUGUACCCCCACACAUACAAUUAUCUGUAAGGUCCCUCAUCUCUGUACCCCCACACAUACAAUUAUCUGUAAGGU